AGACGCGCUGCCAUGGGGCUCUCUGCUGGAGGGGCGUGCCUUGAGCGCGCAUGCGCCAUGCGAGCCAUUCCUCUGUGCUGCAGCUGCAGCUCUCGGCUCGGUGCUCUACCUCCUGGCACAGCAUCACAUUUGUUCACCACAGAGCUGCCGAGCCGAACCUCGUUUCUCCCUCUCCGGAGAGUUUCUGCCUCUCAUGGACAGAUGUCUGCAGAGCUUUCUCCUCUUCUCCUUCCGCCCUCCCAGGUUUGGUGAUUCCUCUUCGACGGAAAACGCUCCGGUGGCCGGAAUCCGUCCUGUCUGACAACAACGCCUGCCUUGCUGUGUUUGUUUGGCUGCCAUGAUGCUUGGGUUACAGGGAAAUACUUCCUCCAAAGUGUAUCGUUGCGUGGCCUGCUCAGCCACCUUCACUGGACUGGCCUCCCUGCUGGUACAUCAGGCGAGCCAUGCAAGUGCAAUCUCCAAGGUCUCGACCCCAGCUCCAACACAGCAAAGCAUCAACCCGCAUGAAGCGCUGUUUGCAAGUCCAGACUCAUCCGCCAAGCACACCAGUCCGCCAACAGUGUUGCCUGAGAGCCCUUCACCUUCCUUUUAUAUUUGUGAUUGUGGAGAGGAAUUUCAUGACUUUGGUCUUAUGCUGGAGCAUAAACGUUCACACGUUGCUCCACCGCAGCUACUGCAUCCCCUGGAUAAUAACAUUGCUCUUUCUGGUGGAACAGGCAGUGAUAAGGUUUUUCCCACCCAGCAUAUGUCAUUUUCUCCCGUAUCCCAGACAGGUUUGGUUCUUAGCUGCCCCUCUACUUCCAAGUCCCCAGCUGUUGAAUUACCCACAGUAACAGCCAACAAAGAAGAUGGAAGCCUAGAGGAUGAUAUUGCCAUAGUAACCUCUCCCCAAAGCCAGUGUACGCCCCCUCCUGAUGACAGUGAUAAACACCUUGACGACGUGUCGACCAUGGCAGAGCAAAUACCAGACACUGUAGAGGACAUGCAUUUUCAAGACAAAGCAAAUUCUGUUCAAAGCAACGACAAGGGUUUGUCCAAAAAUAACAACCUCAUGAAGAUGCUGGCGUCGGCAUAUAUGAAACGCUUUCCACUUACUCAGCCUCACAAUCAGAAUGAAAACACCGUUAUCCCCAAGCAGGAGGUUGUACCUGUUGAUGUAACACCUCAAGCAAAAACAGGGAUCCCACCCAUCAAUGAUCUCUCUAUUGCACAGUUGAGGCGACUGCUUGCAAAACCUGGUAUAAAGACGAAAGCUCCAUCGAUUAGUAGAAUUCUGGAGUCCAGUAAGAAGAAAAUAGUUUCUUUAACUAAGACUUUGUCUCCGGUUGUGGUUCUGGAGACGCGUCAGAAGCUCAUAGAUCCUGGUGGCAAUGGUAUAUUUGGCAGAUAUCAAUGUGGUCGCUGCCGUCGGGUAUUUCAAAACGUGGACAGAUUGACAGAGCAUCAUUUCUUGCACAAAAAGGAGAGGAUUAAAUGUUGUCGUCGUUGCAAACAGCUAAUCAUCGGGCGGCUGCCUUUGCAAGACAAUCACGUAUGCCCUCCAUUCGUAAACAAGAAUAUGCACUCAAGUGCUUUUAAAAACAAGUUACCCUUUGCCCAAAAAUUAGUGCCAUUCCAUAGUCUGAACAAUGCCAAAAAAGUUUUCUACUGUCCGAUGUGUAAGCACAGCUAUGCACGGAGAUGGAACCUCAAAACGCACAGGUGUCACGGUCCAGGGUCAGCCCUUUCUCGACAAGCCAACCAAUCAAUACAGAGAAUGUCUGCACUGAGGUCAAACAGUGAUGCCAGAACUGGUACAGAGGAUGUCAGUGCUGCAUCUCAGAUGGCCAAGAGUGUUGGUGUGGGCACUGAGAUUAGUGGUCGUAUCAAGGUGGAGGACACUUCUUCAAAUAAAGAGCAGUCUGCAGUCUCACAGUUGGCCUGGGUUCAUCCAGCAAAAAGCUUCUCCCCAUUCUCCUCCACAUCUUCCAUGAUAGAGCAGCACAAAGAUCCUUCCUUGUCUGGGAUUUCACUCCAGCAAGGAGCAGAAAACGACUGGGGACCAGAAGCACUCGAUAAUGAGGAUAGUAAUGAGGGACAGUGGACAAUGCCAUUGGAUGAUGAUAUGGAGAUGCUAAAUUCUGCAGGGAAAGCUGGUGGUGGUGGAGAGGUGAAGAAGUCUGUGUCAGCUGAACACACAGAGAUGAUCUCUCACGGCCUGCGCUAUUUUGUCAGAGAUGGUGUAAAACGUUACCCUUGCAGUAGGUGUCAGAAAACGUACAGUCGAGCAUCUACGUUGAGGCGCCAUCUGCGACUGUGUGGGUUUAGGCCACGUGGGUUUGGAACUUUAGCACAGAGUGCAGGUCAGGGUGUCAUUACAGUAAAUGCCAGCAGUGUGAAAAUGUUUUCCUGCUACAUAUGCGGGAAGUCAUUUAACCGCAAAGAUAACAUGAUGGUUCACAGAAAGAGAUGUCAGUUUCAGCGAACAAUGGCAGAAGCGGAAAGAGGGACUGUGCAGCAGAGCUUACCAAGCAAUGCAGCAGCUGACUGUCCACCAAAGGAGGAUGAUGGAGGCAACUGGGGCAUCAUGUCACUGCCCUCUGUGCUUCCAAGGAGGGUGACAUGUGAGUGUGGGGUCGGAUUUACAUCUCCAAGGCUUCUCUUGGAGCAUUUGCAGAAGCACGCACAAGAGUCGUACACAUGUCCAACUUGUGGAGAGACUGUUAAUUCCUGGGCAGAUUAUGAAGUUCACCUGCAGAUCCACAUGCAUCCUCAUCAUCAGCUACUGAAGGGCCUGCAGCCGCAAAGGUCACAGCCUCUAUUACUCAGAUUCCAGCAACAGCAGCAGCAACCUCAGCAGCAGCAGCAGCAGCAGCAGCCUUCUCAGUUGGUGCUUCAGCCUCCACAGAAGAGGCCACACCCAGAGCCACAUCCAACAAAAAAGCAGUCGCGGAUUGUAUGCACAAGAUGUGGGAACACUUUUGCAACUCGCUGUUCCCUUCGAAGGCACGUAUCCUGGAAUCGAUGCAAAGGUGCGCGGCUUACAAAUCCACUCAUACAUCCACCCAGAACCUAUCACUGCUCCCACUGCAACUCUGAUUUCCCGAACACAAUCAGUCUGAUUUUUCACCAGAGGAGUGGAGCUUGCAAGCCUGCCAUCAAGCCUUCUCGCUGCCCUGUUUGCCUUCGCUGGUUUGGUACUGAGGACAGUUUGCAGAAGCACCUGCUAACUCACAAACAGUCUGAGUCGUAUCGCUGCGAUGUCUGUCAGGGUACAUAUCCAAACCUUAAAUCUCUGAAAAACCACCGCAGGAGGAUUCAUCGCAUCAUGGCUGGGGAAAUUAGGCCACAAACACAAGAACAGAUGACUUCCUAACAACAUUUCAGUCUUUCUAAAAAAUGUCUAACAUGGGAGUGGUGCAUUUUAGAACAGAGCUCAUUUUAUUAGUAUUGCUAUAUUCUUUCCAUUUUUGCCAGAUGUAGUUUUUUCCCUUCCAGGGAUUAUUUUGACAUUGUACAGCUACAUAAGGUGGUUUUUAAACAACUUUUGGGUGUCAUACUAGCUCGCCAUGGUUUUAAAAAAAGAAAAAGAAGAAAAAAAGCUUUGAUAUACUGUACAUUUUAGUUGAACUAAGUUAAUCCCUAUAUUGCAUAGCCUCAUUAGCUUGUAAAUGAAAUUUCCAGUAUUUGGUAAUCAGACUUUCUCAUGGAGUUGGUGAUGUAGCUUGUUGUUGUUGUUGAUGUCAAUAAACAUACCAGUAUGUUAAACGUGGGUCAUUUUGUGUUCUAUGGGUGUAAUAUCUAAAAGGAAAAAGUGCAGGACUAACACAGGAAAGUAUUAUCUACAAUGUGGAAAGAGCAUUUUUUUUAUCAUUAUUGAAUUGACAGAAGUUUGGCUUUUUAAAUUGGGGUAAAUAAGUGCAGAUAAUAAAAAUCUGGGAUGCUUCUUUUUACUGCUAUCUAUGCUUCACGUCUAAAUUUUGAUAAUCAGAAUUAAGAUUAUAUUUUAAGCCAUUUUAUGCUACAGUGCAUGAUCUGUGUGGCAUUAUGUCAUUAUGUUGACCUCUUUUACUCUAUAUUCUGAUGAGCAAGAUAGCUCAAGAGCAAUAUAUUAAAACUUCAUAAAACAUGUAGGUGUUUUGUAUGGAAAGGUAAUCCUUUCCACACACAUUUGCAUUUUAAUGAGCAGUACCUCAAUGCCAGGAUUCCUCAUAACUAAAAUUGAUACAAAUUAUGUGGUAUGCAAAGCUUAAUAUGUUUGCUCAGUUGAGACAAAUUUUUUCUUGUUUUAAAAAAAAAAAAAAAAAGGCAUUUUAAUUGUUUUGGGUUUUUUUAGAAUUGUAAAUUAAAACUACUUUAGAGAAUUAAGCCCCAUUCCUAUGUAGAUAUUGUGCCACAAUUCUUAAAUAAAUGAAAAUAUUUUACUAUAUACUCAGCAGUGCUAAAUAUCCGUGCUGGCCUGACUUUUCGGCUGCAUCACACACUCCUCAUCGGCAGAUGGAGGUAAGACCGGUAACAAUAACGAGAAUGAACUGUCGGGUCCUCUAGAACAUCUGUAUCUCCAUGGCAACUGAAAAAAAAACUACCAUCUGCUGUUGGGGACUACCGAAAAUUGCGGCAAUGAGGGCUAGAGUUUAAAUUAUGUCAACUACAAUUUCAAAUUAAGUUUAUUUAAGGAGCACAGUUUGUAACACCUGAGCAACUAAAGUGCUGCAAAUGUGUGCAAAAAAAAGCAAGAAAUAAAAUGAGAUUAAAGACUUCUAAAAUAAAUUUAAAAAUGAUUAUAAACACAUGAAGUGACGUGUUCUUACUUUGUCCAAAUCAAAUCCAGUGAAGCUUUAUUGUCAUUUUGAUGGGAGAGGGUUUCUCCAGGAUCCAAAAACCAGAUCAGCAGUUCAUUUUUCUGACAGCUUGUGGAACAAAGCUGUUGAUGAGUUUGGUGGUUCUGCCUUUGAUGCUCCAAAAACGCUUGCCUGAUGGCAGCAGUUCAAAGAGUUUAUGGAGAGGGUGUGAGGAGUCCCUGACAAUGUUCAGUGCCCUGUUCCUGCAGCGGCUCUGGAAAGGUUCUUGAACAGAGGGGAGGGAAACUGAUGACCUCAGCUCCCCUGACUAUCCUCUGCAGGGCUUUUCUGUUGACAUACUGCAGCUGGAAUACCAUGUUGAGAUGCAGUAUGUCAGGACACUCUGGACCACACCUCUAUCGAAAGUCCUGAGGAUGCUGGUGGGGAGAGAGGCUUGUUUAAGCUUCCUCAGGAAAUUCAGUCUCUGCUGGGACUGUUUGACUUAAACAUGAGGCUGGACAAUGUAACUUUGAAUCUGUCCCCAACAAACCAGGACUGCAACUAAUGAUUCCCUUUCGUUGUUGAUUAAUCUAACAGUUUCUUGAUAAAGUGAGUAGUUGCUUGAUCUCUAAAAUUUCAAUUGGUGUUUCCCAAAGCCUAAAUUGACAUCCUCAAAUGUCUUGUUUAGUCUACAACUCAAAGAUAUUCAAUUUAUUGACAUAGGAGAGUAAGGAAAAGGAGAAUUAUUUACAUUUAAGGAGGUAGAAUCAGAAUUUCUACUUUUUUUCUUUGAUUUGUAACAGGUAGCCAGUGGAGGGAUUCUAUUACAGGAGUGAUGCUUUCAGUGUUAUUUGGUGCCAGUUGGGAGUCUUGCUGCUGCUUUCUGCAUCACCUGAACACCAGACAAUGAAGACUGGCCUGUACUCAGGUACUGAGCAUUACAGUUAUCCAGUGUUUGGGAAAUUUGGCUUUUCCCUUCAGGGAUCACCACAGCGAAUAAUCUGCUUCCAUCUAACCCCAUCUUCUACAUCCUCUUCUCUCACGUCAUCUCUCUAACUUCACAUCCUCUUUCACUACAUCCAUAAACCUCCUUUUUGCUCUUCCUCUAGGCCUCUUCUACCAAUACACUUACUAUCCCUCCUCUAUACACGUCCAAACUAUCUCAGUCUGGCUUCUCUGGCUUUAUCUCCAAAACACCUAACAUGUGCUGUCCCUCUGAUGUACUGAUUCCUAAUCCUAUCUAUCCUGGUCACUCACAAAGAGAACUUCAACCUUUUAAUCUCUGCUACCUCCAGCUCUGCCUCCUGUCUUUUCCUCAGUGCCACUGUCUCUAAACUGCUUUAUCACACAUCGCUGGUCUCAGCACCAUUUUCUACACCUUUCCUCUCAUUCUUGAUGAUGUUGUUUUAUCACACUUGACACUUUUCUCCACCCGUUCCAACCUGCUUGCUCCUUCACCUCUGUUCCACUCUCUCCAUUGUUGAUCACCGUUGAUCCUAAGUACUUAAAAUCCUCCACCUUCUUUAUCUCCACUCCCUGCAACCUCACCCUUCCACUUGGGUCCCUCUCAUUCACACACAUAUAUUCUGAUUUGCUGUGGCUAACCUUCAUUCCUGUCCUUUCCAGGGCAUACCUACACCUCUCUAGACAUUCCUCCACCUACUCUUUGCUCUCACUACAGGUCACAUUGUCAUCUGCAAACAUCAUAGUCCAUGGAGAUUCCUCUCACCUCAUCUGUAAGCCCGUCCAUCACCAUGAAUUUGGCAGUGUACCUGAGUUGGAGGUAGCACCCGUUCACCACAGAGCUGGUCUGUUACUACUUACAGCCCCAAAUGUUUCAUGAAAGCUUUUCUUUUUUAAUGAAAAAUAUAGCAUGCAAGGGUAGCAGAAGGUGGAGAAAGAGCUACCUCCUGUUGCUGUAGCUGCAGAUGAGUCAGGGUGUGACAGAACCGUUGCCACUAGCUAUUCAGUCCAGUCAGAGAGGCCAACUCUUCCGCUUUCGGCAUGAGAUGCCCGUUUUCAGGUCCUGUCUCACAUGGUAACAAAGUAAUCUUGGUCAGUAUCUGAUAGUGAAUGAUAUUGUGUGCUUCUCCUCUUCACAUCAGACAGGUUAACAGGUGUCACACACACACAUACUCUAACCUGCAGUUAAAUCAUUUGUUACGCAUCAAACGUCUUCAGAUUGAGUCCUGCGCUCAGUUGCAGCUUUUAGGGUAAUAUUUUACUGUAAAAUGUCUGAUCUGUUUACGAAAGUAAAAAAAAAAGUAGUAUAAAGAUUUUUUUUGUUGUUGUUUUACAGUCUCACAGUGGAAUAUGAGCCAUAGUGACAAAAAUGCACAUAUGGCUGCUUCCCAUAACUACAUAUAAAAGAUGACCUCUUAUCAUUAAGCAGUAUAAGACAGCAGAGUAGCAAUGAAAACACAUUUUAUUGCUUUAUUGUACACUGCUGUAGUUAGAAAAUCCAUUAGUAGGCUGUGGAGGGGAUUUUCUGUGUUUAUCAUCCAAAAGAUUUGCAGAUUUGUUGUUUAUAAUAGGGCCAGUCCAGAAUUGGAGGACAUUUUACAUCCCACCCAUCAAAUUUCGAAUAAUCCAUGUACAAAAUACUAAAACAUGCAGUUGUUGUGUAAAUUUACUUUUCCUGAGACUAAAUCUAAAAAAAAACAAGGAGAAAGAAUGUUUGAAAUGUUUUUUUAAAAUACCGAAUAAGUCUGGAGUUCCCCCUGAAAUUCCAUUUUUGUCAUCCCACCCCUCUGAUGACCAAAUUAAAUCUCAAAUAAAAUCAUUAAAAUUAAACCUAAACCUCCUUUUUUGGUAUUAUUUUUUUCAGUGAUGUCUCUUGUAAUUGUGGGAACAUUUUUUAAAUCAAUAUAACAUUUUAAAUAAUAAUUAUUAUUACAUGAUACGCUGGAAUUAACAUCAUCAGUUUUUCAAAAGAAUGGGUAGGACAAAGCUAUGUCCUCUCUUAUCUAUUUUUCAUAUUUUCAUAACAUUCUCAGCCUUAAUUGAAUGUCUCACCCUACCUCAUGCAACCCCGUUGUGCAUAUUAUCAACAUAAGACAAACUAUUUUUGCUUUUUUCUUUAUUGUUUUCCAUGGAUAUGUUUGUCCUCUUGGCCAGCAGUAACAGCUAGCUAAAGAUCUAGCUUCUACUCCUGAGAAAAACUUUAGCAUGGAUUAGCAACUCUGUUACUGUGAUUAGAGUCGGGUUAGAAAACAAAAAUAUUAUACAAUAAUAGAACAAUAUUAAUAAUAAUAGAAAUUGCAACAUUGAUGUUUAAGCUGAGCCCAUCAAGUCUUUGAUAAUUUAUUACUUAUUACUGAUGAACAUGUAGCAGAAAAUUGUAAAAGAGAAGGUUUAUUUAUCAAAAAUUUUGAAGCCUAAACGUCCUCCGAUUCUGGAAUGACCCAUUAGCCAUUUCUUUGGGGGUUUGUGUUGCUGAACUUCAUGGGUGAACUUAAACACGCUACCUUAUCAUUUUUUUCAAUCACAUGAAGCCUUGCCAGGUAUCUGAGACUUUAUUGUAUUGAUAAAACAAGUAGUGCAUACAAGGAAAUCCCAUCUCUGCAGUUAGUGAAUGAGUAGAUUGUUCAUUUAAACAGUCUGCUGACCCUUUUAUCGUGCAUUUGAACUUUUGACAAACUUUAACUGUCUAUGGCCUGUAGGAUGUUCCUAUAAUUAGAGGUGAACAGAGGGACAAACAAGCAGCUAUAUGUAAGAAAACAUAAUCAAUUACAACAAAAAUGUAGGAAUUAUUGUCCUCUCUUGGUGGAAAGAGUGUACCAAGUAACUGUUUGAUGGUUGUCUGGGUACACUUGCGCAAAUGUGUUCAAAAAGACUUGAGGAAGGCAGUGUCCUGUUUGUGAGAUUUAUUUACUAUCAAAUUUUCCCUCAUCCAGGCAUGUUUAAUUGGAACAAAGACACAGCAAGCUCAAAAUCUAAUAUGAUGAAUGUUUCCCACAGUAUGUCUGCCUAGUUUCUCCAUCAUCCAGGUCAUGAUGCUAAGAGCUUCAGGAACAAAGAAGUGGACUUCUUUUUGUUGUUCUUGAAGAUGUUUCUUCAGGUCUAACUGAUUGAUUGGAAGGAUCAGAUAUAGUGUCGUCCCCAACUUAACAGCCACCAUUCCUCAAGGUGUGAAGGAUUGUAAAAUUGCUGGGUCACUCAACAUGAAAUAUUCUGGGAAGAGAUCACAAGGCUGUUUUGCAAGUACCUGAUAAGUGGUGCCAUAGCCCUCCUCCUCCUCUAUUUUGAGAUCACUGUUCCAGUUUAAUGUGGAUGGUUUUCUUUGCUGCUUUCAAACAAGCUGUCUUGAGUGUGAACUCUGCUGUUAUCAAAGGAGUAUAACUGAUCUUACUGAAUGUAAGUAGACUGCUCACUGCAUUAGACUGCAUAUACAGUGUUGCUCAGCUCGUGUUUGGGUGUCUCAGUUCAGUGCCCCUAGCUUUUGAUCCAGUGGGUGGUGGGAGUCAAGCAGAAGUUAUUGGUUCGUGUGUGUAGGUUUCUUGUAAACCUCAGUGUUGAGACUUCCGUCCUCCUCACUGAGCACAGCACAACCAAAGGAAUGCAGCUUGUUUUCCCUCACAUCCUCCCCUGUGAACUUGAUAUGGCUGUCUCCUGAGUUGAUGUGUUCUGUAAAAGCUUUUACGUCUCGGGCUUUGAUUUUGCCCCAGGUGUCAUUUAUAUACCUGAACCGGUGGCUGUGGGUUCCUCCAUUGAAAUAAGUCAUGUAGAGAUUGCACAAAGUGGGUGACACUGGUGCUGUUGUCUGUAGAAACCCUCACUGUAUUUAAAAUAGGUGUUCGUCAGAGAGAGGUCCAGCAGGACACAAAUCUGGCUGGGGGUGAAGUUCCACCUCAAUGUUUACAGACAAAUUAGACACACAAACCAAUACCUGCUGUUUAAUUCCCAACAUCAAAUGGAACAUGGGCUCAUGGGGCUUAUCAGAACCUUGCAGCACUGGACAGAGGAUAUCAUGACCAAGACAGAGGGGAUGAAAAAGGGCAUAGUCAGGUAAAUCUCCAUAAUAUAUAUAUAUAUUUCAGAAUACUCUCCACAACAGCAGAUUUAUUGCAUGAUACAUGAGGGAACAGCCAGACACCAAAUUCCUCCUUUAAAAUUGUAAAUACUUGAACAAAAAGUGGCAUUUUGUGUGGAAUUGGUAUUUAAAACUAUAAGUGCUUAGCCAGAAAGUAGUAUUUGGAUAUAGUAAAUCCUGAAAACAAGAACUUAGCUAAAAAUCAAUAUUCUCUUGAAGACAAUAGAACAUCUUCUGACUUCUAAAGUGGCUGAUAGUGGCCUCAAAGUGUCAUUUCUCAGACUCUGCAGGCCAUUACACAGCAGGGGCAUUCCUUGCUGUGAUCUCCUGACAUCCUCCUCCACCUAACAAACAGGACUGUAUAUAAAAGAAUAUACUGGAAUGUUUUAAAGCAACAAUUUAGAAUAUCUGACAUCUCUAUAGUGAUGAUUCCAAAAUCUGGACUCAGUAAUGCAAGACACUCAAUCACCAGGACCAGUAUUGAAAAAACAGAGUUGCUGCAAUGCCAUUAAUUCUUCUUCUUUGUUGGAUUUUUGACUUUGUAAAAUGCUGUCCUGUAUUCAAUAUUUUGGAUUUUCUUUUGGGGUUUCUAACAAUAAAUAUGGAGCUUUUGAUAAUUAUGCAGGCUUUCCUUCUUUGAUAAGUUUUUAAAAAGCCUUUAAAACUAUAAGUACGUGGACAGAAAGAAGUAUUUGAAGUGGAAUACAUUUCAAAACCCUAUUUUUUUGAGUUACAUAGUAGUGUGGUUGGAAUACAUGUUUUAAACCAUAAUUUAUUUGUUAGAAAGUAAUAUUUGGGCAGAAUAAAUCUUUAAAACUAUUAGUACUGGACAUAAAGUAGUGUAUGGGUGGAAUAACGGCUUAAAACUAUAAGUACUUGGGGACAAAAACUAGUAUUUUGGGUAAAAUAAACUUUUAGAACCAGAACCUGUUGUUCAGAAAGUACUAUUUAAGUGAAAAAAUCCUUUGAAAACAAGAACUUGUUAGUUACAAAGUAGUAUUUUUGGGGAAGUAAACCUUUAAAACCAGGACUUGUAAGUUAGAAAGUAGUAUUUCAGUGGAAUAAACCUGUAACACUAUAAGUACUUUGGGUGAAAUAAAUCUGUAAAACUACAAGUACUUACACACAAGUAGUAUUUUGGGCAGAAUAACUAUUUAAAGCUACAAAUACUUGAACAAAAACUAGGAUUUUGGUUGGAACAAACCUUAGGAACAAUAAGCAAUUGAACAGAAAGUAGUAUUUUUGAGUGGAAUAAUCCUUUAAAACAAGAACUUGUUAAAAUAUAGUAUUUGGGUGGAAUGAACCCUUAAAGCUUGUACAAGUACCUGAACAGAAAGUAAUAUUUUGGUGGAAUAAUGCUUUAAAACUACAAGUACUUAACCCAAAUACUACUUUGCAACUAACGAGUUCUGGUUUUAUAACUUUAUUCCACCCAAAAUACGAGUUUUUGUUGAGUAGUUUUGAAUUUUAAGGUUUCUUUUACCAAGAAAGUAUUAUUUAGGUGUAAUAAACCUUUGAAACUACAAGUACCUGGACAGACAUUAGUAUUUGGAAUGUCUUUAUCCAACACCCCGGUCAGUCGGUUUGGUUGUCGCUGUCACUGCGGUCCUGAAGCUGCGGCCUGCGGUCCUUCAAACACUCCGGAGCAGGAACCUCCGCAGAUAGGGGUCAGUAUAAGGAAACCGAACCCGGACGUAGUGCCGCAGAAGUGCGCCAUCCGCAGAGGAAGAAGCCGCUCUUUUCUCUUCCUCCUGUUUUUUUGGUGUGGCUGUUAGGCUAACUGCUAUCUGCCAACCACCGGUGACGGAGCCCGACUGUGAAUGUCUCUGGGCACGAGAAUGGACGGUAUUUUUGCGUUUUUUUCAGAGGAAAUGUGAAAAUAUUGACGCGGCGACGUUUUUAUUUUCAUGCGACGGUGAGGGAACGUUUGUGUCUGUCAGCUAGCUGAGGCUAACGUUAGCAUGCUAGGCUAGUAGCAAGGCAAGCCCGCGUUCCAAUAGCAGCGUUAUUCAAGGCAAAACCAGAAAAGGCGUUCCAGUGGACUCCAUAUCGGUGGUGAACACACAUAUGCCCAGCCUCAUCAUGGAGAGAGGGAGGAAAAAAUUGCAGCGAUUCCUGGUGGAUGGCUUCGGCACCAGCCUGAUGAACAGCGGACAGUUUUGCUUCAGCUGUGAGCAGAUAUUUGCCAAUCGGAAAUGCCUGGAGGAGCAUGUGUGCUCCUCUGCAAGUUUCAUCUGCUCCUGUGGCACCGAGUUCACUGAAUACAGAGACAUGCUGGAGCACAGCACGACGCACGAACCGGGCCACCAAGUGCUUGACCACGAAACGAUAAGAAAACGCAGGGUCGAGAAGCGCAGAGAAGAGGAGGAGCAGCUGAAAAGACUACGGAAAGGCGAAGUGGUCUGGGAGGCGCCCAAAUCAAACAUUGCACCGUCAGUUUCGUCACCAGUGAGGCCUGCUCUGCAAGUACCCAAUAUGUCAGCUCAUACAUCACAAGGUCCCAUGCAGUCUUUGCAGAUUUCACAAGUGCCUGAGUUGUAUCCCUCUACUUCACAAGCAUCUUUGCUCCCAAACACUGCCCCUCUAAUAACAGACAUGCAGAAUAUUUUUGCAGGUGUAGGUGCGCCAACAGUGGAUCUUUGGACGAUCUAUCAGCCAGUUGUUUUGAUAGAAACGGUGCGCGUGUUUAACAGGAAAAAGCCAUACGCUUGUGGUAAAUGUGGGCAGGGUUUUAUGACAAAGACCUCGGUCAUCUCCCAUCAAAACUCACAUGUCACCGAUAAAAUUUCUGGCUGUAUAGGAUGUGGGCUGCUGCUGUCCAGCAAGAAGUUAGUGCCUCGCUUCCAUGUUUGUAACUCACACAACAACACGACCAAAUUGAGACUAAUCACUGCAAAACCUCUGAAUCUCAAGACACUAAAUAACGCCAGUGCCGAUAGGAGACAGAAUCUGAGUGUACAGGGGCCUCAAGUCUUUUCUUCCCUACAGAUGAAAAACAAGAUUCAAAAUCCAAACAGGACAGGCAGCCAGGCACCUCACACUGCCUCCACCAAGCAGUUUAAAAUUCAAAAUACCAGACCAUACAAUAACAAUCUGGGGCUUCAUGCCACUUCGGUUUUUAACUUUAAGGGUUGGAGUCCCAGUUCAGCAUCCGGUCAGCGUCCGAAUCCUAGAAUAUUCAGCCACGGUCGUCCUAGGCUUUCCAUCACUCCCUCUGUGCAAUUAAAAACACACACAAACUCUUCCAUAGGUGGAUUGAGCAAACCUACUCAGAUAUCCCCUGCAACAAAGGGGUUUCCAUGCCGAGUCUGUCGUAUUGCUUUUGAAACUCCUCAGCUGCUUCAGAGGCACAAAUGUGUCAAAGCACAGGAGUUUAUGGCGCAGCAAGUGCGAGGUAGCAAACAGCAUUACAAACUCAAGAGGAUGAUGCCGAUGAUGAGCCCAAAUGCUGCUCAGAUGAACGGGCAGAGAAAACUCGGGCUUCCACCUCCUGGUAGCAUAAACAAGAACCAGGUCGUGGCUGUCAGCCUGGACAAAGGGUCAUCGGUGGUUCCAGUCAAUGGGAGUACAGAUGUGGACAUUGACAAUGACUGUUACAUUGUUGAAACCGGACCAGACAAAACUGCUGAGAUGAUUUACCAAGUAACCUCAUCUGUUCCUAUCAUAACUUGACAAGGCACACCCAGUUUGCAUGUCACACUUUUUGUUAAUUACAGACCAAGCGCAUGGAGACGGCGGCCUCCUUCUGUGAAUGGCAUCUCCUUGGCUCUUCGUGCAGGAACACAAUGCUACCUGGCUUCUUUCCAAACUACUUUAAACGAUAGACAAGUGUAGAAUGAAUAGUGAUAACAAACAUGCAUCUUACUUAAGCUGAAUUUCUUUUGUUAAUACAGUUAAACAGAUCAAUAUUGACUUCCCAAGAGUAUAAAAUUGUUGCUCCUGCAGCGGGUAUAGAAGGUGUAAAUGAAAGUUGGAAAAUGUUUGAUGGGAUACCCAGGUAUUGUAUAAUAGCAUUUUUUUUUUUUUUAAGUUAUGUUUUUAGUAUGAUCAGAAUGUGUUGUGAAGCUGUGGGAAUUGGCCGCAAUACCUUGUGUGUUCUUACCAGCUUUGUCAGACUUUAUGAAUUCAGUAUAUUACGUAUUAAACUAUAUUUUCAAACUCA